UUCGCGUGUGGCUCCCUUACCCAGCUCCUUUCCUGUUGGUGUCAGUCCCCCCGCCGCCUUCCUCCCCCCUCUCUCUCCCUCUUCCAUACUCACUCCCUCUCACGCUUCCAUUCGCACAACGCUGUGCUCAUCAGCCCACCACACCUCGAUCCGUUUCUCUUUUCUUUUUCCUUUCUUUUUUUUUUCCUAGCUUCGUAGUCUUCGCUUCUCCUCUCAUCUCAUCUCUCUUCGCUAGAGUACAUUGCUUUCACUUCAGUUAUCAACCGCAACGACGAGUACCACACACGGCCCACACCCCGCACACCCUCCCCGCCACACCCCGUAGCUGUUUUUCCUUCUUGCGGGUGCUAGACCGCUUCGCCCUCCCCUGACGACGUGCAGCCUUCGAAGGAGCACACGCACACACAGACCCGGCAACGACAAGGAUGCUCAACGGUGAGCCGAGGCUAAUCCAGGCGCCAAAGCGUCUCAAAGGGCGCGGCGCAGGCCGCGGCACCACACGGGAUGGCUAUGGCGACACGCCGUAUCGCGGGCCGACGUCCGCGCGUCCCACGACCCCGGUGCGCAGUGGACGUAAGGCGGCUCGUUCGCCUUUGCAGCCCCGCCUUCAGAACCCGGACCGCAACCUCACCACCGAGGACGCCGCGGAGGGCACCGAGGCUUUCAAGAACCGCGUUUCUGAGAUCACGUCAUUUCGAGUCGUGUCGCGUGUGCGGCCCUUUAUCAAGGAAGAGCUGGCCGAGAUGGAAGGCCAGGAGCGUCGCUCUGUCGUCGAGAUGACGAACACCAAGACCAUUCUGCUAGACCCGAAGGACGGCUGGGCCCCCAAGGCGCAGUUCGACUUCGACGCGUCGCUCUGGUCGAUCCCGCCGACGCACCGUAUUGUGCACACAUUCCAGGAUACGAAGCACAAGACGUACGCAACACAAAAGGAUGUGUACAACCUCAUCGCCAAAGACCUCGUUCCGCACGUGUUCAACGGCUUCAACAGCUGCAUCCUCACAUACGGCCAAACCGGAAGCGGCAAGACGUACACGAUGAUGGGCUUGUACGACCCGAACGCCUCAUGCGGCGGCGACGGAGAGGAGGGCAUCAUCCCGCGUGUGUCCAACGACAUCUUCAUUAUCCUCAAGGAGCGCAUGGAGGAGGAGGCCAAGACGAGGCCGCCGCGCGACCGCACGAAGUUUCGCGUCGAGGUGAGCUUUGUCGAGAUUUACAUGGAGCGCGUGCGCGACCUCCUCGACCCCGCACUGCGCCACACCCGCGGCAACGAGCGGCUGCAGGAUGCGCGCAUCCGGCAGGACCCGUACAGCGGCCCCUUCGUGGAGGGCGUCACCAAGUACGAGGUAGAGAAUUGGGCACAGUGCUGCACCCUGCUUGAGCGCGGCUCACAGCACCGCACGACGUGCGCGACGGCGGUGCACAACCAGUCGAGUCGCAGCCACGCCAUCUUUCAGCUGACAGUGGUGCAGGAGCAGGUGGUGCCAGGAAACAACAAGUACGCCCUCCCCGCCUUCAAGACGCAGGCGGGCCGUAUCAACCUGGUCGAUCUCGCCGGCUCUGAACGCGGCGGUUUCCAAGACUACGUCAAGGAGUCGGCAGCCAUCAACACCUCGCUGCUGGCGCUGCGUCGUGUGAUUGACAACCUCACGGAGCGGCAGAACAUGCUAAUGGAGAUGGCGGAGGCAGAGAUCACCGGCAAGCACUACCAAGAGCGGCCACUCCCGCAGGUGCCGUUCCGCGACAGUGUGCUGACAUGGUUGCUGAGCGACAGCAUUGGUGGCAAUGCUCGCACGACCAUGGUGGCCACACUCAGCCCGCUGGUGAAGAACUACGCCGAUACCCUGGCGACCCUGCAAUGGAGCAGCAGGGCUCGCAACCUCGUCACGUUGGUGAAGAUGAACGACCAGGCAUUGGUGCACAACGGCAUGGCGUCACACGCCGGCGCCCUCGACAACGCCGUGCGCAUUCAGCGGCAGAAUUUGGAUAGUCUGCGCCAAACGCUGCGCUCAAAGCAGGAAGCAGCGCAGCAGCUGGAGCGACAGACGAAGGAGCUGAAAAAGUCGCUCACCAAGACGCGCGGGCGCGAGCGGGCGAUCCUACAGGACCGCGCCGCCCUCAUCAUCCAGCGUGCUUUCCACCGCUUCAUGUUCUACAAGAAGUACGAGGCCUACGAGCUGCACCACGCGAAGCUGCGAGGCGGGAAUAAGAGCGGCACCGGCGAGGCCGCUGAUUAUCAGAAGAUUCGCAAGGAAGCGGAGGCGCGCGAGCAGGCGGCGAAGGAGGCGCUGAAGGCUGAGGAGGCGCUGACAGACGAAAAGGCCGCUGCCGUGGCGAGGUACGAGUCGAAUCACGAAGCUCGGGCUUUGCGCCGCCGUGAGGCCGAGGAACGUCGGGCAAGGGUCGUUGAGGUGAUCAACGGCAACGAGUUGCUCCGGCAGUACGGGGAGAAACGCCGGGAAGAGGUGGAGGCGCUUCGCAGCGUGGCUGAUGACGAAAAGAAGGAGAGGGAGAUGGCCGUGAAGAAGCUGGCGGACAUGAUAAAGGUCAUCGCUGACAGCAAAACGGACCAGCACAAGCGGAAGGUAGAGGAGGAUCAGAAGAUGUUGGAGAUGCUGCGCAAGAAGCGCGACGAAGUGCGCUCGCGGAGGUACGAGGUGCUGCGGCAGCUCCAGGCUUUACGGGAGCGCCACAAGAAGGUGGUGAAGAAGUGAAGCCGAGCGCUCCACUUGCGCGACUGGGUCAGCGCGUGCCUUCGAAGGGAUGAGCCGGCAGAGUGUGCCUCUGCUGGAGAGGUUCGAGGCGGUCACGCAUCUAGGUCGUCGUGGUGGUAGCACAGUAUGUGCAUAAUGAAUCGAAGGAGAGGAGUUCCAGCAUCGAGGGACGAGGAGGGGGACUCUGCUCCGUCUAAAGAAUCUUACCACCUGCUCUGCAGAACUGUAUAGUGGAUUAAGCUCCCUCUUUACACUGUCUUGCACUCCACGCACUCGCUCGAUCGCUCAGUUUUUCUUUUGUGACUUGCCAUCCUCACUGUUUCUCUUCGCUGGCGUUAUCGUGAGGCCACCCCUCCCUGCCUUUUCAUUUUACUGUUGAACUGCCCACCCGCCCCUGCUCACUGUCACUGUAACUGUGUCGCUUGUGACUCCUCUUUCCGUUCUUCGACGACACCUUAAAGGCUCCGUCGGCCCUUUUUUGCCCGAUCCCCGCCCUCCUGCCCCGACUCACACGCCCACUCCCUCAUCUUCCCUGUUUUGCGUUUCACUUUUUUUGUCGUGUCAUUGUAUGGGUUCACUCAACAGCGUUUUUUUUUUUAUUUGGUUGAUGGGUCUUUAGUCCGUUCUACCCCCUCCCCCCCCCCCCGGACAAGGCUUUCUUGCCUCCACCGUUUGCGGCGAAGGGAUUUUGGAGAGGACAGGCGAGAGAGAAGGGGGGGCGAGACGUGUUCCUCUGUGUCCGUCUCUCGUUCUCUCUCUGCGUGUUCGCGUUGGUGGCAACACUAAUUUUUUUGUUUGUCUUUGUUCACUGUACCCUCCCUCCUCCCCCUUCCCAUUGGCCCUCGCUUGGAUCAGGAUGGUCGAGUCACGCUCAGGCACACAGGCAGCAACAAGAAAAUAAAGAGAUAUGUUCGAUGGGCGAGGCACGUAAGCGCCAAACAAGAAAAAAAGGAGUGUCAGCGGAUGCAUUCUUGGGGCCGGCGUGUGGGACAAUGUUGCUCGUCUCCGCUUUCUCCCACCCCUGUCCAUCGCACUCUUCCUUCUCCGUGUUGGUGAGCUCGAUCGCUUCCCUUUCCACGCCGACUGCUUCACCUGCGUGUUCUUCUUUUCUGUGAUCUUUCUUGUCCUUUCUUCCUCCCACUCCCCCACCCCCGCCCCCUGUACCCUGGAGAGAUGGAUAUUGAGCUGGUUGCUGUUUUUGUCUGUCUUGUUUCAUCUCGAGUGUGCAUUGCUCUCUUCUUGUGUGUCGUCCAUGACAGACACAUUCUUUCUCUUGUUUUUGUCUUUUCGUGAUUCGCCCUUCCCUCUCCAUCUGCGUGUCGUGCGUGUGGAGCUACUUCGAGUCUCCUCUCACAUACUUGUGUGCCAGAGUAUGCGUGUGUGAUCACAUGCCUCUGCUCUUUUCCUUCCUCUAUCACCGCCACCUCUCUCCUUCCCACGCGCUCGCUUUCUCAUCCUCUAUGCUUUGUAGGCUCAUGUAUUACCAUCCAUCUCGUAUUUUUAGUUUUCUUGAUUUCGCUUCUGUGGUGUGGAGAAACACGCGCGCGCUCGCUCUGGUGGUUCACAAUUUGGCGCCAAUACGUGCUGGUGGGCUUUGAGGAAAGGGCGGGCCGGCGGGCGGCUACGGCGAUAGAGGGAGGGAGAGAAUACAAAGCAAAAGCAGAAAGGGGAGGUGGCAGUCAUGUAUGUGUGCAGCAGUGUUGAAACAUACCCCCCACCCUCACUACCCACCCACCCCACCCGCCCUCACCACCUCACGUUGUGCUUAUAUUUCUGUUUUAUCGAUUUUUUUUGUUUACUUCCUUUUUGUUGUUGUUUUCGAUCUGUACAUCUUUCACCUGGCAUUCCCCCACCCCCUCCCCCUACAGACCCCCCCCCCAUCCCGCCGACACCCCUCCCCUCCCCUUGCGCGACUGUUACGCCGCUCCGCCUCCUCUCUGCUGGGCAAAAGAGAAACCAUCAACACACACUAGAUCUCUGUUUUUUUUUUUCUGAGUUUUUCAGUGUCGUUAUUAUUUCUCCUCUUCCGGUUUUUCUGUUUAAUGAUUAUCGGGCUUUCUUUCUUCGUGUUGUUGUUGGCGAAGGCGUCUCUUGCGGCUUUCUCUGCCUCACGGGCUGUCUCUUGACUCUCUCCGACGAUCUCUCUCUAUAUACAUACAUAUAUGUAUGUUCUCACCUCUGACCGUUUCCUUUUCGGCAUUCUUUUUUUUUACUGUUAUGUUUGGUUGUUUGUCCCCUUCUUUGUUGCUCACUCGUUUUUCAGUACAGCUGUGUGUGCAUGUGUGCGUGUGUGUGUGUGUUUUCGUGACGUUGCCGACUCGAUCUAGAAGCAGCAUGCGCUUGCACGAACAUAGGGCCAAGUAGACACCGACGGCCAGGCAGACAUGAGGGCGUUUAAGGCCACGCUCGUAUGAAGAUGUCUCGUUAUUAAAUAUGCGUGCCCACAAAAAGAAACUCCUCGCGCCGGUUCUCCGAUCAUCUUUCCUACCCCCUCCCCCCACUCUCCUCCCCCCCCCUCUGCACAUCGCAGCGGGCCGGCUGCAUGCAUGUGAGUGCUUCGCAGUCAACACUCACAGCAAGCAGGCACAGCCCCUCGCUGCCUCGAG
rnacentral:misc_RNA from 1 species